rnacentral:rRNA from 1 species
GGUCAAGUGAAGAAGCGCAUACGGUGGAUGCCUUGGCAGUCAGAGGCGAUGAAAGACGUGGUAGCCUGCGAUAAGCUUUGGGGAGUCGGCAAACAGACUGUGAUCCAGAGAUCUCUGAAUGGGGGAACCCAGCCAGCAUAAGCUGGUUAUCUUGUACUGAAUACAUAGGUGCAAGAGGCGAACCAGGGGAACUGAAACAUCUAAGUACCCCGAGGAAAAGAAAUCAACCGAGAUUCCCUUAGUAGUGGCGAGCGAACGGGGACCAGCCCUUAAGUUGGUUUGAGAUUAGUGGAACGCUCUGGAAAGUGCGGCCAUAGUGGGUGAUAGCCCCGUACACGAAAAUCUCUUAUCAAUGAAAUCGAGUAGGACGGAGCACGAGAAACUUUGUCUGAAUAUGGGGGGACCAUCCUCCAAGGCUAAAUACUCCUGACUGACCGAUAGUGAACCAGUA